rnacentral:tRNA from 1 species
GGGGGUGUAGUUUAAUUCGGUAAAACAACAAACUUGCACUUUGUUGAUUCAGGUUCAAGUCCUGACAUCUCCA